AGGUCUGAUAGUCUAUCUUUUC
rnacentral:miRNA from 15 species